UAGUAAGGUAAAGUUUUGUACUUGACAAGUUACGGCUACUUUGCUUCUGCAGCCUUCAUCGGAGACGUCACGUGAUGUUAACUUGUCAGGUACAAAACUUUACCCUACUAGCCUAUAUAAAUCAACCAUUUAUAAAAACAAAAAAAAAACUUUCCAAUGAGGCGAGCUUAUUCAUACUGUUGUGUAGGUAGGGUAGGGUGAACAAAUCAAGCAGUCCUCCGUUGUAGCAAGUUCUAAUUUAAACUGUCCAUAAGUUUACCGUGCCUUACAGUGUAAACAAAAAUGUCGUUGGUCAUGUUGACCCUACGGAGGAAGACAUUUUGUGUGAACUAAAUUCCCUGCAAAUACUUCGCGAGAAAAGAAAAAAUCACCUGGCUUUGACACAUCAAACUUCAUUGGCCACCCCAGCAACCAUGCCCCGGGCAGCCAAUAAAGACGCCUUCCCCAAAACCAUCCUCCGUGCGAGUCGCCCGCUCAGGUGGGCAUUCCACAGGAGACACUCCUUAAUUUGAGUUCCACAGCCACUGCACCUUAUUUUGAAUAUGCGUAUAAAUGACUUAUAUGACUUAUUUAUGACGAUAUAUUGAGAAUUGUAAGAACAUUGUUCUGGGCAAAUUGAGUUAUGUGAAUUCAGAUGAAUGUGAUAAAAUGUGGUUCAGAGGAAACUGGAUAUUAUGUCACGUUCGGAGCGCAUUGAGAUGCACGGAGGUGUCAACUCAAGAUGCAUGGGACCAGACAAGCAAGUUAGCAGUCUUAGGGCCUGACGGAAGAAGCUGUUACAGAACCUGGAGGUUUUGCUACGGAGGCUGUGAAACCUUGUCCUAGAGUCCAGCAGUGAAAACAGUCCUUGGUGGAGGUGGAAGGAGUCUCUAAACAUUUUCUGAGCACUGGUCAGGCAGUGGAUUUUUGCGAUCGCCUGGAUAGGAGGAAGAGGAGUCCUGAGGAUGUUUUCCGCCGUCCUCGCCACUCUCUUCCAGUCUGAGGCACUGGAUAAUCACAUCCACCAGGUGUAAAGACACACAGCAGCGCUGGAGACCAUGAAGCGAGAGAGAGGCAUGAGGACGCAGGAGGAGGCAGGACAGACGCACAGAGACGAACAAGAGACAGCUGAAAAGCUGGACGGACGGACAAUUGUGUAAAGUAAAAGAUGUGCUAAAGACUGUGUAAAACCUGAGAAGCUGGACAGACGGACAAUUGUGUAAAGUAAAAGAUGUAUUAAAUACUGUGUCAAACCUGUAUCCUGAGCUAUGUGAUACUGUGGUCAGAAGAAGCCGGGCGAGACGCAGGAAACCUCCACAAUGAUAAUUAAAGAUGAAAGUCAUUUUUACUUGACACUCCCUAAAUAUUAAAAGUAUUCAUAUCUUCCUUAUGUAAUAUUAUGCUCCUUCCAGUGCUGUUGUUUUUAAUUUUAGUUUGUAUCCAAUCAGAAUUCAGCUAGCUUACGUUGCCAUGCUGUACCAAAUCUGCCAGAGGCCUUCAGAAUCAACAAUGCGGGUGUCCGUGCACUGUCAGUGAACGGGUAUAUAGAGUUGAUAGACAAUUACGAUAGCCAAUCAGAUCACGAGUUGUGUUCAGUAAGGCUUUCUAGAUGGUUUCACGUUGAACGUGACAUUUAUGCGUCCUGUGAUUGGAUACUCACCGGGACCGUUAGCGGAUGAAUUUGAGAACACAUAAAGUUGAAAGACAAUUGCAAAAGCCAAUCAGAUCACAUGUUUUUGACAGGAGCCUAUCUAAGUAGCCUGAUGAUACGAGACUGUGAUCGGAUACUCAGCUGUCAUUCCCAAGUGAGUAUCCAUUCACAAGUUUAUUUUUAGCAGGAAGCAGGAAGUGUUGCGCCGUAGCCAGACUGGGAUAGCAGCGAAGGAGAACAAAACGUUGAUUAGGUGGCAGAUAUAUAUUUGCAAGGCCAUUUUCAAGAAAGAUAUUUAAAGAGAAACUACAUCUUCUGAGAUGAUGUCAGCCAACCCCGGAAGCUACCUCAACUUUUCUGGCGCCCUUUCCACUCGAAUAAGCCGACUACAAGGGGUACCGCUGGCUUAUACGGCAUCGAAUAGGUCCUAUAAAUUUGUGGAGAGGCGGAGCCAACGGUCCGACGGCGGGGCAGGGCACGCUGCAGCCCUGCCCAAGAUGGCGGCAAGGAGGCGGAGGAUGCGGCGGAGCGGAGAGGCGGGGCGUACCGGGAGCGAUGCCUCCGCAAUCUAAUUCAGGUGCGUGGCUCACACACCAGGAAACUAUUAACAUUUCUCCUGAUGAUGUAUAAAAGGAGAGAAGGAGGAGAGAUCGAUGAGAAAGGAGUUGGAGAGCCUGCAGGAGCAGAUGAAGAGCAAGAGCGAUCAAAGAGCGACAGAGAGCGAGCCAUAGAAGAAGACGAUGACGACGGUGGCUGAAAGAGUGGACCGUGAGCGAUCAGUGGAAAGGAGCAGCCGCAAAGCGAUCCGACCUACACUAAAGCUUGUUUAUUAAAAAAUAAACCAGAGUCAAACCUGCAAGAGCAAAUUGUCCUUCCUUGAUGGUCCUGGGAACCCACACAACAGCAAGCAACUGUCACAGUUAGUUUUUUUCCUUUAUUACCUCUUGUGUUAUUUAUUUUACCCCAUAUUUGUUCCCACUACCGCACCUUAAG